CAGUACCCUGACUGUGCAAAGGUAGCAUGAUCCAAUUGUCUGGUAAUUCCAGUCUGGUAACAAUGGUUAGACUAUAGGAACGCUGUCUUUUUCUCUUUUGUUGAAAUUGACUACCAGGUGCGGAGGCCUGGAUUACUGAGUGGGACGAGAAGACCCUAUAGAGCUUUAACUUUAGCUAUUACACCAUUUGUUGAUGGUGAUUGUUUUAGUUGGGGCAACUAUUCUUAUUAUUAAACAUUUCUAGUAAUCUGGUAAAUUUAAUUGGUGUGGACCCUAAAUUUUUAGGUAGUUAGAAAAAGUUACCUUAGGGAUAACAGCGUAAUUUAUCUUCAGAGUUCUUAUUAA
rnacentral:rRNA from 1 species